GAUGUUCAGAAGAUAAGGUGUUCUUGCCUUGUGGUUCAUUUGAACCGCCAACAUGUAGAGAUAGACAAAUGGAGAGCAACAUUACAGUGUCCACAGAAGGCUGCUUCUGUAGUCAGAACACAACACUCUUCACCAAGGAUUCUGGAGUCUGUGUGCCACAACCCUGCGGAUGCUUGGACCAAUCUGGGGAACCAAU